rnacentral:rRNA from 1 species
CCUACGGGAGGCAGCAGUGGGGAAUAUUGGACAAUGGGCGAAAGCCUGAUCCAGCCAUGCCGCGUGUGUGAAGGAGGCCUUCGGGUUGUAAAGCACUUUCAGUGGGGAAGAAAGCCUUGGGGCUAAUACCCUCGAGGAAGGACAUCACCCACAGAAGAAGCACCGGCUAACUCCGUGCCAGCAGCCGCGGUAAUACGGAGGGUGCGAGCGUUAAUCGGAAUUACUGGGCGUAAAGCGCGCGUAGGCGGUCUGAUAAGCCGGUUGUGAAAGCCCCGGGCUCAACCUGGGAACGGCAUCCGGAACUGUCAGGCUAGAGUGCAGGAGAGGAAGGUAGAAUUCCCGGUGUAGCGGUGAAAUGCGUAGAGAUCGGGAGGAAUACCAGUGGCGAAGGCGGCCUUCUGGACUGACACUGACGCUGAGGUGCGAAAGCGUGGGUAGCAAACAGGAUUAGAUACCCGAGUAGUC